rnacentral:rRNA from 1 species
UACGUAGGGAGCGAGCGUUGUCCGAAGUUACUGGGCGUAAAGCGCGCGUAGGCGGGCUAUUAAGUGAGAAGUGAAAGGCUGAGGCUCAACCUCAUGCAGUGCUACUCAUACUGGUAGUCUUGAGGGCGGUAGAGAGAAGUGGAAUGGCUGGUGUAGCGGUGAAAUGCGUAGAUAUCUGGAGGAACACCGGUGGCGAAGGCGGCAUCCUGGACCAAUAUUGACGCUGAGGAGCGAAAGCCAGGGGAGCAAACGGG